CACGGGGGGAGCAAGCGUUGUUCGGAAUCACUGGGCGUAAAGGGCGUGUAGGCGGUCAAGUAAGUGGAAUGUGAAAUCCCUCGGCUCACCCGAGGACCUGCAUCCCAAACUGCUUGGCUUGAGUAUGGGAGAGGAUGAGGGAAUUCCUGGUGUAGCGGUGAAAUGCGUAGAUAUCAGGAGGAACACCGGUGGCGAAAGCGCUCAUCUGGCCCAAUACUGACGCUGAGGCGCGAAAGCUAGGGGAGCAAACGGG
rnacentral:rRNA from 1 species